rnacentral:tRNA from 1 species
GGAUUGUGGUUCCAUGGCAGAGCACUCGCCUUGCACAUGCGAGACCCUGGGUUCGAUCCUCAGCGCCA